rnacentral:rRNA from 1 species
GCCUACGGGGCGCAGCAGUAGGGAAUAUUGCUCAAUGGGGGAAACCCUGAAGCAGCAACGCCGCGUGGAGGAUGAAGGUUUUCGGAUUGUAAACUCCUUUUGUUAGAGAAGAUAAUGACGGUAUCUAACGAAUAAGCACCGGCUAACUCCGUGCCAGCAGCCGCGGUAAUACGGAGGGUGCAAGCGUUACUCGGAAUCACUGGGCGUAAAGAGCGCGUAGGCGGGAUAGCAAGUCAGAUGUGAAAUCCUAUGGCUUAACCAUAGAACUGCAUUUGAAACUUUUAUUCUAGAGUAUGGGAGAGGUA